GACGUAGGAGGCGAGCGUUGUCCGGAUUCAUUGGGCGUAAAGAGCACGCAGGCGGUUUGGCAAGUCGGAUGUGAAAACCCGAAGCUCAACUUCGGGCCUGCAUCCGAAACUGCCCGACUAGAGGUAGGUAGGGGAGAUCGGAAUUCCCAGUGUAGCGGUGAAAUGCGUAGAUAUUGGGAAGAACACCGGUGGCGAAAGCGCUCUGCUGGACCUGCACUGACACUGAGGGACGAAAGCUAGGGGAGCGAAAGGG
rnacentral:rRNA from 1 species